rnacentral:rRNA from 1 species
ACUCCUACGGGAGGCAGCAGUGGGGAAUAUUGCACAAUGGGGGAAACCCUGAUGCAGCCAUGCCGCGUGUGUGAAGAAGGCCUUCGGUUGUAAAGCACUUUCAGUAGGAGGAAGGUAGUGUAGUUAACACCUGCAUUAUUUGACGUUACCUACAGAAGAAGCACCGGCUAACUCCGUGCCAGCAGCCGCGGUAAUACGGAGGGUGCGAGCGUUAAUCGGAAUUACUGGGCGUAAAGCGCAUGCAGGCGGCCUGUUAAGUCAGAUGUGAAAGCCCGGGGUCUUAACCUCGGAAUUGCAUUUGAAACUGGCAGGCUAGAGUCUUGUAGAGGGGUUAGAAUUUCAGGUGUAGCGGUGAAAUGCGUAGAGAUCUGAAGGAAUCCAAGUGGCGAAGGCGGCCCCUGGACAAAGACUGACGCUCAGAUGCGAAAGCGUGGGAGCAAACAGGAUUAGAUACCCCUGGUAGACUGUCA